rnacentral:tRNA from 1 species
GCCUCCUUAGCUCAGUUGGUAGAGCGACGCAUUCGUAAUGCGUAGGUCGCAGGUUCAAGUCCCGUAGGAGGCU